GUCUGUCGGGAGCUUCCAUCAACUUACCAAGUCAUUCGUGGCUCAGUUCGUCAUUAACACAAAGGCACCAAAGGGUGUUAGCUAUAUUUUGAUGCUCCGAAAAGGAAAGAACUAAUCACUUUGCAAUUAGGACAAGCACUAUUGGGAGAUGUACAACAAAAUAAAGGAGUGCCCAAAAGAUUUGGCUAUGGGCAGCUACAAGCUAGGGCUAACCCUGGGUGGAAAACUUUGGGAGGACCUGACGCUCAACCAUUGAUACUAAACAAGCAUUAAGCUAACUUGGAUUGACUUGCAAUUAUGUGAAUUAAAUCUAAACAAAAUGAAAAACAAAGGAGACCAAAAAUCUUUUGGAUUUUUGAUGAGAUUUUGAAUUUACUAAUCUAUUGCAAUAAAACUAAAAGUAAUUAACAACUAGGCAUUUAAAUUAAAGAAAAUUGAAAUUAAAGUUUUGGGAUCAAUAGUUCCAAACCAAUUUCAUUUCUUGGAAUUCCAAAUGAGAUGAUUUUGUAACUCAAAUCUUUCGACUAAGUCGUGAGUUUCAAAUUUGGAAGAUUUAGCGAUAAAACCCUUGUUCUUUAAAAACUUCAAUUUCUAGAUUAAAUCGGGUUGUUAGAUUCGAGGAUGAAUACCAUCGAUUCACACAAUACCUAUACUAAGACUAGGCUUAUGCAUAAGCAUUGAACAUAAUCAAUUUUUCAAGUUUUCAAUAAUUUCUAGAACAAUAAAGAUAAAGAAUGAUAAAAUCUGAAUAUUUAACUUUAAAAUCCAAAAUCUCAAAUCCCUUAUUCAUCCAAAACCUUCAAUCAAUCUUCACUACCGAUCCCUAGAUGAGAGAGUUUAGCUACUCAUCUCUAUCUAUUGAAAACUCGAAAAUACUUGAAUAUAAACUAUCUAUUUCGAAUUAAUGCAAAGAAAUACGAAGAAUCUCGAAUUAAAAACAAGGAAAUGAAAGAGCUUGUAUUGACAUUAGAAUCUAAAUGAUUACAAUGAUAAAAGAGGAAUACUUACAUAAACCCAAACUAAUCUAAGUUAAGAACUACAAACACCCUAAGUUGUUGCCGCCCCUAAGCUCUGAUAUCCUUAAAAUUGCAAUGAAAGUUUGUAUUUAUAGGCCCAAGGUUCGAAACCCUAGAAUUUUGCCAAAAAAUAUCCUUGGCAUUGGAAAGGCUCAACGGGCAUUCGAAUGCCCGUUCAAUUUUGGGAUGCAAGCUUCUAGGGCGUUCGAAGACUUCCUGGGCAUCCCGUACGACUGCCAAGUUCAAUUUUUACCCAUCUGUUGUAGCUCAAUUUGACAACUUUAUAGAUCGAUUUAAGCCCCCAUGUGCAUUAGAGAAAAACUUGUAGCCUUUGAAACUUUUCUUCAAUGCUUCAAAAAUCAGCUUAAUUGGACAUUGGAGUAAAAAGUUAUUUCCAAAAUACAGAAAUAGAUUUUCAGUGAAAUUAUGAAAUUUGCCUUGGUGUUCGAACGUCCAAGCAGGCGUUCGAACGACAAGGCAAAAAUUGGAAUUUUAGCUCUCUGGACGUUUGAACGAUAGGUUUGGACGUUCGAACGGUAAUUUUCUCAUAUUUUGGCUUCUUCUUGAUUUUGAGGGCCCUCGGAGCCAAAUUGGCCGCGCACGUUAGACGUACAUACUGUUAAUCACUUGAUGAAUCUUUCUAACGGUGGUAAAAAUCAGCUCAAUCGGACAUCUGUAUCAAAUAUGACCGCUUUUUGCCAUAUUUGCCCAAUGAAAAUUUCUCGUUUUGCAUGCCGCUGUCCCGAAUUAUCACCAAGCUCUAAUUCCAUCUCUUUAGCUUAAUAACUUGAGAAGACAACCACUUUCGGAUUAUUCUAAUUAACAAAUAGUCGAAUAUAAUUACACCUUUCUAACCUAACCAGGCGAAUUAAGGCAUAUAAUUACACUUUUAUGGUGUAAUCAACCAUCUAACCGACCUCCUAGAUCUCAUGAGCCAAGUCAAAAUUUUUGCUCUAUUGGAGGAUAACGUUUAACAAGCGGAACGAGCUACGUGAUCUUCAUCCUAGGGUGAUGGGUCAUUCAAGAAGCGAAAAAAAGUCCAACAAACUAUGAAGGCUGAGUGAGGUACGGUUACGUAAUUUUUAAAGAACCAAUUUGCAAGCUCCUCACCCAUAUUUGAGACAAAUCGUAUUUCAAGAAACCCCUCUCCACGGAAGGAGAUCUCAGAAACACAAUCAACAGUGGAAAUGCUUAUUUUAGAGAAAAAAGGACACAUAAUCAAAAAUUGCAAAGUCUUAUCGGUUUUUCAGGAUCAGCUCAUUCAGGAUGGACAUCUGAAAUAGUAUGUUGAUCAGGAAAAGACCCAAGCAGAGGAAGAUGAAGUCAUACCUAACCCUAGGUUUGAAAGAAGCAAUAACAAAACUGACGAUACCUUGGAGGAAGUACUUCUUUUUACUGGAUGAACUUGCAAGUUCGACCGAUUCAACUGGAACAUAAGCCUUAAUUUACCUUGUAUAACCAGUAGAAUAAGUUCAAUAGGUUCA
rnacentral:lncRNA from 1 species